rnacentral:misc_RNA from 1 species
GAUGAAGAACGGAGCGAAAUGCGAUACUUGGUGUGAAUUGCAGAAUCCCGUGAACCAUCGAGUCUUUGAACGCAAGUUGCGCCCGAAGCCAUUAGGCCGAGGGCACGCCUGCCUGGGCGUCACACGUCGUUGCCCCCCCAUCUACUCCUUCGGGAUUGCGGGGGGCGGAUGAUGGCCUCCCGUGCGCCUCGUCGCGCGGUUGGCAUAAAUGCCAAGUCCUCGGCGACGCACGCCACGACAAUCGGUGGUUGCGAAACCUCGGUUGCCAGUCGUGUGCGGUCGUCGCGCAUCGAGGGCUCGAAAAAAUUGCCGGGCUCCGGCUCGGCUUUCAACGCGACCCCAGGUCAGGCGGGGUUACCCGCUGAAUUUAAGCAUAUCAAUAAGCGGAGGA